CGAGCAGAACCCUCGUCAUUAGCCUCAGAAACCCCAAGGUUCUCCCCGCUCUGGUUCCUAUUCCGUCCCGAUAUCUAUCUCCUGGUCCGAGGAAAUAUGGACGGCAGGGCGGCCGCGAUCUCGAAACCGAUCGUGCUGAUCACCAACGAUGACGGGAUCGAUGCCCCCGGGCUGCGCUUCCUCGUCGACGUCCUCGUCGCCACCGAUUGCUACCGUGUUCUUGUUUGCGCCCCCGCUUCGGACCAGUCAGGUGUUAGCCAUAGCAUCACGUGGCGUCAUGCUCUCAGUGCCAAACGUGUUGAAAUUGAAGGUGCUACAGCCUUUGCAGUUUCAGGAACUCCUGCAGAUUGUGCUUCUUUGGGUAUUUCUGGAAAACUCUUUGAUGGUGUAAUUCCUGAUUUGGUAAUCAGUGGCAUCAACAUUGGUUGCAAUUGCGGAUAUCAUAUAAUUUACUCUGGGACAGUAGCUGGUGCCCGGGAGGCAUUCUUAUAUGGUAUUCCUGCUUUAGCUAUGUCGCUUAAUUGGAUGGGAGGUAAGAGCACUGUCAAUGACCUCAAACUUGCUGCAGAGGUUUGCCUGCCUGUCAUAAAUUCUGUGUUGACCGAGCUCAAAAAUAAGACAUACCCUGAAGGUUCUUUUUUGAAUAUAGAUGUGCCAACAGAUGUUGCACAUCACAAGGGAUUUAAGAUCACAAAACAGGGGAAGUACAUGAUCAGGAUUGGGUGGGAGCAGACAAAUAUAAAUGCACCAAGCAUGGAAAGCUAUCAAACGGCACAUAUUGAUGUUGACAUGACACCAGGCUCUGAAAUGAAUGCAUCAGUUCCAGUAGAAAGUCAUCUUUUGUUUAAGAGAGUGUCGUCAAAGAUAAAGAUUGAAGAGGAUGAAGCAGAGGACACAGACCAUAAAGCCCUUCAAGAAGGAUAUAUUACAAUCACCCCUCUAGGUGCUCUCUCUCAUACGGAAGCUGAUGCCAUGCCCUACUUCCAAGAUUGGCUGUUGCAUUUGGCUGAUUAUUCAACAUCCUCCUUAUAAAAAAUGUUGGGUGGUGGAGCCUAAUCCACACAAACUGGAUGCAAACAAGACCCAAGAAGCCCAUGAAGCAAAGAGCCCAAAAGAGGGGACAAAAAAGAAGCAGCCCACGGACUGCAGGCCGGCACCAAGUGCAGUCGGCUGAGGCAACGCGCGCGGGGCGCGGCCCAUCGCCCUUCAUGCGGUCCAUCGUGGAUCGCCAGUGUACAGGAGGAGACGUGGACCGGGAGGGCGUUUCCCCAUCGUUUCUCUCGGUCCACGGUGGACCGACGAGCGUUUCACAUGCGUUUCCUGAUGUUUUUUGCGAUCGGACAGUUGUCUUUCUUUCCGGUUCAGAUUAGAUUAGAUGGUGGCGGAGCAUUUCCGAUCGGUUUUGGGCUAUAAGAGUUUUUUCUCGCUGUUUUCUCCCAUGCGAUGUUGAUCCGAUGACAAGGGAGGAGUUUUAAUCCAGCUUUCAAACAGAUUCUCUAAUGCGAAUUGGCCGAUUCCAGACUCUAUUUAAUGGACGUCACAGACAGAGAACAAUAUAUGCAAUCUGAGCCCGACCUGUGAGCGACUGAGAGCUGGUAGAGCGGCGAGCGUGCACAGAGGGCGUGGGUGAACAGCAACCGGUUUUUCCGAGAGAGAAAAAAGAGAGGAAGAAAGAAAGAGAGUGAGGGGGCUUCGGGUCCUUCGUAUGAGCAAUCCUAGCGUGCUACCAGGACCCAGCAAAUGAAUCUGUUCAAUAAAGAGAUCGAUUGCCUGAUCAUUCUUGGUUGCCAUCUGAGACUCACUUGAGCAAACCGUGCUUCAGGCUUGUGAAGUCCUUGUAGGUAUCAGCUGUACCUUCAUUGCUGCCAUUGUGAACAGCGAUUUCUGAUACUUUUCAGAUUUAGUUACAUGUAUGAGGAACACGCCUGCUGAAACUUUUUCUCCUAUAUGAUAUUUACCAGUAACCUUCAGCUGUUAAUGCUGCAAAACACCACUAGCUGUUCCCAGACA